rnacentral:rRNA from 1 species
AGUGAACGCUGGCGGUAGGCCUAACACAUGCAAGUCGAACGGCAGCACAGUAAGAGCUUGCUCUUACGGGUGGCGAGUGGCGGACGGGUGAGGAAUACAUCGUAAUCUACUUUUUCGUGGGGGAUAACGUAGGGAAACUUACGCUAAUACCGCAUACGACCUACGGGUGAAAGCAGGGGAUCUUCGGACCUUGCGCGAUUGAAUGAGCCGAUGUCGGAUUAGCUAGUUGGCGGGGUAAAGGCCCACCAAGGCGACGAUCCGUAGCUGGUCUGAGAGGAUGAUCAGCCACACUGGAACUGAGACACGGUCCAGACUCCUAAGGGAGGCAGCAGUGGGGAAUAUUGGACAAUGGGCGCAAGCCUGAUACAGCCAUACCGAGUGGGUGAAGAAGGCCUUCGGGUUGUAAAGCCCUUUUGUUGGGAAAGAAAAGCAGCAGGUUAAUACCACGCUGUUCUGACGGUACCCAAAGAAUAAGCACCGGCUAACUUCGUG